UAACUCGGGUUUCCCUUAAAAACGCAAAAAUUUUUCGCCUUUUACAAAAUUUUUCCCGUGGAGGGAACAAUUUAGUGUCUUAUUAAAUUUUUAAAUUUUAUACCCACUUGGGUGGGUU